rnacentral:tRNA from 1 species
GCGGGGGUGGCAGAGCCUGGUCAAAUGCGCAAGGUUGAGGGCCUUGUCCCUUAGUGGGUGCGCGCGUUCGAAUCGCGUCCCCCGCA